rnacentral:rRNA from 1 species
AGAGUUUGAUCCUGGCUCAGGAUGAACGCUAGCUACAGGCUUAACACAUGCAAGUCGAGGGGAAACGAUAUUGGAAGCUUGCUUCCGAUAGGCGUCGACCGGCGCACGGGUGAGUAACGCGUAUCCAACCUGCCCACCACUUGGGGAUAACCUUGCGAAAGUAAGACUAAUACCCAAUGAUAUCUCUAGAAGACAUCUGAAAGAGAUUAAAGAUUUAUCGGUGAUGGAUGGGGAUGCGUCUGAUUAGCUUGGUUGGCGGGGUAACGGCCACCAAGGCGACGAUCAGUAGGGGUUCUGAGAGGAAGGUCCCCCCANAUUGGAACUGAGACACGGUCCAAACUCCUACGGGAGGCA